GAUGAAGAACGUAGUGAAAUGCGAUACGUAAUGUGAAUUGCAGAAUUCAGUGAAUCAUCGAGUCUUUGAACGCACAUUGCGCCCCCUGGUAUUCCUGGGGGCAUGCCUGUCCGAGCGUCAUUGCUGCCCUCAAGCACGGCUUGUGUGUUGGGCCUCCGUCCUCCUCCCGGGGGACGGGCCCGAAAGGCAGCGGCGGCACCGCGUCCGGUCCUCGAGCGUAUGGGGCUUCGUCACCCGCUCUUGUAGGCCCGGCCGGCGCUUGCCGACACAUCAAUCUUUUUUCCAGGUUGACCUCGGAUCAGGUAGGGAUACCCGCUGAACUUAAGCAUAUCAAUAAGCGGAGGA
rnacentral:misc_RNA from 1 species